rnacentral:rRNA from 1 species
UCGAACGGCAGCGCGAGGAAGCUUGCUUCCUUGGCGGCGAGUGGCGGACGGGUGAGUAAUGCAUAGGAAUCUGCCUUAAAGUGGGGGAUAACCCGGGGAAACCCGGGCUAAUACCGCAUAAUCUCUACGGAGCAAAGCCGGGGACCUUCGGGCCUGGCGCUAUAAGAUGAGCCUAUGUCGGAUUAGCUAGUUGGUAGGGUAAAGGCCUACCAAGGCAACGAUCCGUAGCUGGUCUGAGAGGAUGGCCAGCCACACUGGGACUGAGACACGGCCCAGACUCCUACGGGAGGCAGCAGUGGGGAAUAUUGGACAAUGGGCGCAAGCCUGAUCCAGCAAUGCCGCGUGUGUGAAGAAGGCCUUCGGGUUGUAAAGCACUUUCAGCAGGGAGGAAAGCCUUAGGGUUAAUAACCCUGAGGGGUGACGUUACCUGCAGAAGAAGCACCGGCUAACUCUGUGCCAGCAGCCGCGGUAAUACAGAGGGUGCAAGCGUUAAUCGGAAUUACUGGGCGUAAAGCGCUCGUAGGCGGAUUCUUAAGUCGAUUGUGAAAGCCCUGGGCUUAACCUGGGAGCUGCAGUCGAUACUGGGUAUCUAGAGUAUGGUAGAGGAUAGUGGAAUUCCCGGUGUAGCAGUGAAAUGCGUAGAUAUCGGGAGGAACACCAGUGGCGAAGGCGACUUUCUGGACCAAUACUGACGCUGAGG